rnacentral:ncRNA from 1 species
CCGAGAAAUCGCGGGAGUCCCGAGGAUCGUGGGGCUGAGAGUGGGUUCGCCGCCCUUACCGUCAAUACCUGAACCCGAUCAUGCGGGCGCAGGGAGUGAGGACGUGAAUCGCGU